GCGAUGCGGGGUCGUCACAACGACAACCCUGAAAGUACCAGCGGCACUGCUGCUGGCUUCCGCCCCCUUGGAUCCCCGAACCCGGGGUCGCUGAGUCGUCCUCUGGGCACUGUCCAGGUGGAGCUGUGACCGCCCCCCAGGUCCCUCACCUGCUCAGAUGCCAGCUCGAGAUGCAGAGAGAUACACCCGCUGGAAGCUUGGAUACCAAAUGAGCAAAACAGAUGAAUGAGACCUGGUGCUGAGAAUUGAACCUGAGGCCUCUGAACUUCAGACAUGGAAGUCUUGCAUAAUCAUUAUGCUGUCUCCCAAUGAAGGUU